UGAGUAGGCGGUUGUAUAUGUCAGGUGUAAAAGGCUAUGGCUUAACCAUGGUUAGCACUUGAAACUGUACAACUUGAGUGCAGGAGAGGUAAGUGGAAUUCCUAGUGUAGCGGUGAAAUGCGUAGAUGUUAGGAGGAACACCAGUGGCGAAGGCGACUUACUGGACUGUAACUGACGCUGAGUCACGAAAGCGUGGGUAGCAAACA
rnacentral:rRNA from 2 species